AGAGUUUGAUCCUGGCUCAGGACGAACGCUGGCGGCGUGCCUAAUACAUGCAAGUCGAACGCUUCUUUCCUCCCGAGUGCUUGCACUCAAUUGGAAAGAGGAGUGGCGGACGGGUGAGUAACACGUGGGUAACCUACCCAUCAGAGGGGGAUAACACUUGGAAACAGGUGCUAAUACCGCAUAACAGUUUAUGCCGCAUGGCAUAAGAGUGAAAGGCGCUUUCGGGUGUCGCUGAUGGAUGGACCCGCGGUGCAUUAGCUAGUUGGUGAGGUAACGGCUCACCAAGGCCACGAUGCAUAGCCGACCUGAGAGGGUGAUCGGCCACACUGGGACUGAGACACGGCCCAGACUCCUACGGGAGGCAGCAGUAGGGAAUCUUCGGCAAUGGACGAAAGUCUGACCGAGCAACGCCGCGUGAGUGAAGAAGGUUUUCGGAUCGUAAAACUCUGUUGUUAGAGAAGAACAAGGACGUUAGUAACUGAACGUCCCCUGACGGUAUCUAACCAGAAAGCCACGGCUAACUACGUGCCAGCAGCCGCGGUAAUACGUAGGUGGCAAGCGUUGUCCGGAUUUAUUGGGCGUAAAGCGAGCGCAGGCGGUUUCUUAAGUCUGAUGUGAAAGCCCCCGGCUCAACCGGGGAGGGUCAUUGGAAACUGGGAGACUUGAGUGCAGAAGAGGAGAGUGGAAUUCCAUGUGUAGCGGUGAAAUGCGUAGAUAUAUGGAGGAACACCAGUGGCGAAGGCGGCUCUCUGGUCUGUAACUGACGCUGAGGCUCGAAAGCGUGGGGAGCAAACAGGAUUAGAUACCCUGGUAGUCCACGCCGUAAACGAUGAGUGCUAAGUGUUGGAGGGUUUCCGCCCUUCAGUGCUGCAGCAAACGCAUUAAGCACUCCGCCUGGGGAGUACGACCGCAAGGUUGAAACUCAAAGGAAUUGACGGGGGCCCGCACAAGCGGUGGAGUAUGUGGUUUAAUUCGACGCAACGCGAAGAACCUUACCAGGUCUUGACAUUGAUGGACAGAACCAGAGAUGGUUCCUCUUCUUCGGAAGCCAGAAAACAGGUGGUGCACGGUUGUCGUCAGCUCGUGUCGUGAGAUGUUGGGUUAAGUCCCGCAACGAGCGCAACCCUUAUUGUUAGUUGCCAUCAUUUAGUUGGGCACUCUAGCGAGACUGCCGGUGACAAACCGGAGGAAGGUGGGGAUGACGUCAAAUCAUCAUGCCCCUUAUGACCUGGGCUACACACGUGCUACAAUGGGAAGUACAACGAGUCGCUAGACCGCGAGGUCAUGCAAAUCUCUUAAAGCUUCUCUCAGUUCGGAUUGCAGGCUGCAACUCGCCUGCAUGAAGCCGGAAUCGCUAGUAAUCGCGGAUCAGCACGCCGCGGUGAAUACGUUCCCGGGCCUUGUACACACCGCCCGUCACACCACGAGAGUUUGUAACACCCGAAGUCGGUGAGGUAACCUUUUUGGAGCCAGCCGCCUAAGGUGGGAUAGAUGAUUGGGGUGAAGUCGUAACAAGGUAGCCGUAUCGGAAGGUGCGGCUG
rnacentral:rRNA from 1 species